rnacentral:lncRNA from 1 species
CCGGUUUUAAGGCAAAGGUGCCGGUUCUCAACCCAAAACCGGCACCUUUAUUUUAAUAGUAUUUUUCAUGUCCGAUGGUGGGAGUGCCGGUUUUUGUAUGAAAGUGUCGGUUUCUUUUAUAGAACCGGCACCUAUUCACUUAAAACUGUUAUCCAUUCCCUCUCUCCCCCUUAUCCUUUCACUCUCCCUCUCUCUCUCUCGGCGCGGCGGCAGCGGCGCGUCCCCCUCGCAGCCUCCCCCCCUCUCCUCCUCCUCCUCCUCGUGGCGCCCUCCAAGUCGUCGUCGGCUGUGGCGGCGGCGGCGGCGGCGGCCAAGGUGCGGGAGGAGGGAGAGGUCUCCUCCUGCGCCGACGACGACGAUGUGAGGAGGGCUCCCGACGGCGACGACGACGACGACGGUGACGAGGUGAGGAGGGAGAGGUCUCAUCCGGCAGCAGCAGCAGUGAGGAGGGCUCGAUGGCGUCCAGCGGCGAGGAGGUGUGCAGCGGUGGCGGCGAGGAGGAGGCGAGCGGCGGCGGCAGAUCCAUCCCACGAGAGCGGGCGCGUGUUCGCCGCGGGCCUCAACGGCUUUGGGCAGCUCGGGAUAGGCUCCUCCGUGACUCAUCCGCUGGUACUGCUUCUUGUGCAUCAUGCCUCCAUGUGAAAUUUCAUCUACAUUGUGAGUCAGCCUACUUUGCACAGGAGGCAAAAGCUGGCUGGACAUAUAUCAGAAUUGCAAUUUUCACUCCUGUAAAGUUUCUUUGUGUGCAAAUCAUUUUCCAGUGCAACUGCAGGUUCCAAUUUUUGUAGGUGUCAUGUAGAUGAUUCUCAUAUAUGUUCUUCUCAAUAUGAAUUUUCUUGUUCCUGUUCGAUGUCUGCUCUAAUUUUUGAUGAACAACGAUGUCUGAAUCUGAAUAUUUAAACUAGGCAUAUUUUGAGUUAGGAUAUAUAUGCAAAUGUUUAGGAUUUAAAGAUAGGAAUUUUUGAACUUACGAAUUUUUAGACUUACCGAAUUUUAACUUAGGCUUGUAUGUUUUU